CUUAUCAAGAGUGGCGGAGGGAUCGGCCCGAUGAAGCCCGGCAACCUGCGGUGUGUCUGUGAUGCGCGGUAAGGUGCCAAUUCCGGCGGUAUGUAUCGAAAGAUGAGG
rnacentral:ncRNA from 1 species